ACAUGCCUACAACAUAGUGUUAAUGCAUCGUAUCCCAUUAGAACUCUGCAGUUAAGCGCACUUAGGCUAGAGUAUUACUGGGAUGGGUAACCACCCAAGAAGUCCUAGUGUUUUACAUGCC
rfam:Picea glauca, whole genome shotgun sequence.